rnacentral:sRNA from 1 species
AUGCCCAACUAAUUUUGUAUUAUUAGCAGAGAUGGGGUUUCUCCAUGUUGGUCAGGCUGGUGUCGAACUCCCAACCUCAGGUGAUCCACCCGUCUUGGCCUCCCAAAGUGCUGGGAUUACAGGCGUUAGCCACCAUGCCUGGUCUUAAAAUUUUUUAAAAAAUAAAUUGUAUUAGCCUUUAAAUAAUGGCCCUUAGAAAUUUGAGUCUCUGGCCGGGCAUGGUGGCUCACGCCUGUAAUUCCAGCACUUUGGGAGGCUGAGGCGGGCGGAUCACGAGGUCAGGAGAUCGAGACCAUCCUGGCUAACACAGUGAAACCCCGUCUCUACUAAAAAUACAAAAAAAUUAGCCGGACAUGGUGGCAGGCACCUGUGGUCCCAGCUACUCAGGAGGCUGAGGCAGGAGAAUGGCGUGAACCCGGGAGGCGGAGCUUGCAAUGAGCCGAGAUCGCGCCACUGCACUCCAGCAGGGCGACAGAGCGAGACUCUGUCCCAAAAAAAAAAAAAAAAAAGAAAAGAAAUUUGAGUCUCUGACCAGUAUCUCUCAGGUUGCUGCAUCAAGAACGGGAACAGGUGAAUCUGUCACCAUCUGUGCAUGGUACAGCAGGUGUGGAUUCAACACAGGUUAUGCUGAUCAAAUUGUGUGUUUCUACUUUAGGGCUGUUUUGCUGCAGCUUCUGAAGUGUUAAAGCACUUGAAGGAACGAUUUCCGCCUAAUAGUCAGCACGCCCAGUUAUGGAUGCUAUGUGAUCAAAAAAUACAGUUUGACAGAGCAAUGAAUGAUGGCAAAUAUCAUUUGGCUGAUUCACUUGUUACAGGAAUCACAGCUCUCAAUAGCAUAGAGGGUGUUUAUAGGAAAGCGGUUGUAUUACAAGCUCAGAACCAAAUGUCAGAGGCACAUAAGCUUUUACAAAAAUUGUUGGUUCAUU